rnacentral:misc_RNA from 1 species
AACGCACCUUGCGCUCCUUGGUAUUCCGAGGAGCAUGCCUGUUUGAGUGUCAUUAAAUUCUCAACCCCUCCAGCUUUUACGAGUUGUGAUGGGGCUUGGAUAUGGGAGUUUGCGGGUCUUUAUCAAUAAAGGUCAGCUCUCCUGAAAUACAUUAGCGGAACCGUUUGCAGUCCCGUCACUAGUGUGAUAAUUAUCUACACUGUGAUGAUUGCUCUCUGACUAGUUCAGCUGCUAAUCGUCCACUAUGGACAACACUUAAUGAACUUCUUGACCUCAAAUCAGGUAGGACUACCCGCUGAACUUAA